ACAUCAGGGUCAUCUGUGAAGUAUCUUGAGAAUGCUGAUUUCUUGGGUUCACAUAUUAUCUACUUGAUUAAUACUCUGAAGAUUGCCUGGAAAUACAACAGAUCUAACAAACUGCCCCAGCCUCUCGAAGACGCAGCAAUGCAAAUCAGACCAAAUCCAACUGAAUUAGAAAACGCUCACGUUUAAUGGAUGCAACGCUCCUGCAUGGCCUUCCAGCCCCCCAGAGAGGAGACUGGAAAGAGAGUCCAGAAAACCACAGACUUUCUACAGACAGUUGAUGCUAUCUAUUUGACACUUUAAAAAGACAGAAGAGGCUGGGCGCUGGUGCCUCAGACCUUUAAUCCCAGCACUCAGGAGGCAGAAGCAGGCGGAUCUCUGUGAGUUCGAAGCCAGCCUCAUCUACAGAGUGAGUUCCAGGACAGCCUCCAAUGCCACAGAGAAACUGUGUCUCAAAAAACAAAACAACAAGCAAACAAAACAAAACAAAAGACAGACUACAGCACCAACCAAUAUUAAAGAAUUUUGACCCUCAGAUAAGAUGUAUAAAUUAAUGGAACUAUUCACUGGGAUAAUCCAGUUUUCUGAUCUGGCUUUUCUUAACUUUUUCCCCCCAGGAAAUCCUGUCCUCCACUUUUGCAGAAACCUCUAGAAAAAAACUUUCCUUUAAGUUUAAACAAUGACAUCAUGGUCCCUGAACUUUGUUUUAAACACCAAACAAAGUACCAGGAAAUGGGUUAUUAUUUUUUUUGUGUGAUAUUGUGGGGUGAAUAAAUGGUCCCACAAGUGUUAAAUUAGUACUCUACCACAGAGAUACACACCUCCAGCCCUAGAUGGAACUUUCAUCUAGCUCAAAACCAAGAGCACAGUGGACCUAUUUCACGACUUUUACCGCUCUGAGAACAUUAUGUUCUUAUCCCAUUAAAGGGACAAGGUUCUUUUAAGUACUGAACAAACCAUAUUUUGAAUCCAAACGUUUUUUUUCUUCCAUAAUCUCUGCACUCAUCCCUUGCCUUUUUCACAACCCUGAUGAAGGGGCUUCUGUUUUCCUUCUCUGGAUGGAAUCAUGUUCUGAUUCCUCCCACAUUCUUAGCUUUAAAAAAAGAACAGGUUAAGUGGGAGUUUGCUGAUUGCUGAUUGUUUGGACAGGCUCAAGUACUGUUUUCAAAAGUACUAAAGAAACAUUUAUGAACCUCAAUCUGCAAGCCUUUGUUAAUUGUCCAUAGCUUAUCAUUGUGCAUUUUCUGACCAGACUACUAUCUUUUUUCUCUUGGCAAAUGACAGGUGAUUACAGUGCAUGAUCAUUAAUUCACAUCUAUUGGCAAUAAAUAUAGGCUGUAAAAAUUUCCAAACAAUAUUCUAUGUAGCUACUGGAGUGAGAAGACAAGACCCCUUAACUGGCAGUUGAUAAGACGAAGGCUGUGGACACAACCCUUCCACAAACUGGUUCUGAGGCUGUAAGUAAAUCAUUUUCCUGUCCAGUUCCCUUAUCUGUGAAAUCAAAGUUUGAACAGAUUAAACAUCCCUCAAAGACCUGAAGCACAGAGCAACCAAUUGAACAUCCCAGGCAAAGGCUUUUUGAAUAGGACAUCAACAGUCCAGAAGUAAUACAAAUGGGGCUGAAUUAAAUAACUUUCUGUGGUGUAAAAAGAAACAACAGAGUCCAGAGAAAACCAAGUAGGAAGUAUUUGCAAGCUAUUCAUGUAACAGGACAUUAAUAUCCAGAACAUAUAAAGAGCUAAAAACCAAGUUGCUGGGUUUGGCAGCACAGUCCUGUAACACCUGGUACUUAUGAGGCUGAAGUGGGAGGAUUCUGAGUUCAAGCCUUAUUUGGGGUGCAGAGUGAAUUCAGUGCCACCCUGGGCAGCUUACUGAUAACCUGUCUCAAAAGUAAAAAUAGAACGAGGUGUGGAGACCAAGCUUUGCAGUAAAACACUUGUGCAGCUGUCCCCCAGUGUUCUCCAUCUCUCUCUCUCUCUCUCUCUCUCUCUCUCUCUCUCUCUCUCUCU